UACGUAGGCAGCGAGCGUUGUUCGGAGUUACUGGGCGUAAAGCGUGCGUAGGCGGUCGUGCAAGUCUGUUGUGAAAUCUCCCGGCUCAACCGGGAGGGUGCGGCGGAAACUGUGCUGCUGGAGUACGGGAGAGGCAGGCGGAAUUCCUGGUGUAGCGGUGAAAUGCGUAGAUAUCAGGAGGAACACCCGUGGUGUAGACGGCCUGCUGGACCGUGACUGACGCUGAGGCACGAAAGCGUGGGGAGCAAACAGG
rnacentral:rRNA from 1 species